CUGGGGAAGCUACCUGGGAGGCAGGAUCACUGCUCAGAAACAGACUGGUCAUCAGGUUUUGGGGAUUUUUUCCUUCCACACAUGGGCUCCAGGAGGAAAGACUGCAGGCAGUUCGCAUGUGAUUGGGUACACUUUACCUUGGUGACCAUCCUGAGCCCAUGCUGCUGUCAACAGCUGUGCUAUAGUGGUUAUGUACAUCCAUUCUUCUUCUAUUGAAACACCCCAACCCCUUUUGCAAGCGGGACUUCAUCUUCUAAAUCAAGAAAUACAAAGCUAUUUAAAUAAAAGAAUCCUUCAUUCUUGGAGCAGAGUUUCUUAGUAAAUGACUGGCAUCCCAGCUUCAAUUGUAUGACGCUGCCCAUGCAGUGUCCAACAUUUUUGUGUGAGGCUGAGCUGUUAGUACC